AGCUCUGACCCUAGACCUUAAGAUGAUCUGCAGACUUCUCUCUCUCUUGAAACCCUCACCAGUAACCACAUGGACAAGUCUGAGCCAGCCUGCUGGAUGAGGAAAAAAAUACACAGACUCCAGCCACCAUGAUAUUCCUGGCCACUAGCCAGCUACUGCCCCAGAAGCAAAGCUAUAGGCCAGCCUCAUUUGCUGAGCCACAGGACAGUAAGAUAAAGACGCCAAGAUGGAGACAAUGCCCUUACUGGACUAUGAGGAUUCCAACUCACUCAUCCCACCACAAAGUGCUGCUCCUCUGUCUUGCCCUUCAACUCUGUCUCUCCCAGCUGCAACCCUUACUGCUUCUGCCCAUGCCUGUGAAUGGCCCCAGCAGCCCAGCCUGCCCAUCACUCAAGAAAGCCAAAUGCCACAUUCUGCACUUCCACAGCAUGUAACAAAUAGCUAGAAUGCCUGUAAGAAGUUAAAUAAAAAUCUUUUGAAAUUCUAGGCUGUGAUCUAGAGGCAGGCCAGGAAAUAGCUCAA